CCUUGCGCUAAAGGAGCGGCCGAUGUCUGAUUAGCUAGUUGGUGGGGUAAAGGCUUACCAAGGCAACGAUCAGUCCUUGGUCUGAGAGGACGGCCAACCACCAUGGGACUGAGACACGGCCAAGACUUCUACGGGAGGCAGCAGUGGGGAAAUUUGGACAAUGGGCGAAAGCCUGAUCCAGCCAUUCCGCGUGAGUGAAGAAAUACCUCGGGUUGUAAAGCUCUUUUAGUCGGAAAGAAAGAGUUGCAAUGAAUAAUUGAGAUUUAUGACGGUACCGACAGAAAAAGCACCGGCUAACUACGUGCCAGCAGCCGCGGUAAUACGUAGG
rnacentral:rRNA from 1 species